rnacentral:rRNA from 1 species
CUACGGGGUGCACCAGGCGCGAAACCUUUACAAUGCACGCAAGUGUGAUAAGGGGAUCCCAAGUGCUUAUACACUGUAUAGGCUUUUGCCAAGAGUAAAUAUCUUGGCGAAUAAGUGGUGGGAAAGACUGGUGCCAGCAGCCGCGGUAACACCAGCGCCACGAGUGGCGUACGUUUUUAUUGGGCCUAAAGCGUUCGUAGCUGGUUUAGUAAAUUCUUUGUGAAAUCAUUCGGCUUAACCGAAUGGCGUGCAGAGAAGACUGCUAGACUAGGGACCGGGAGGAGUCAGAGGUAUUCUGGGGGAAGCGGUAAAAUGCUAUAAUCCUCGGAGGACCACCUGUGGCGAAGGCGUCUGACUAGAACGGAUCCGACAGUGAGGGACGAAGGCCAGGGGAGCGAACCGGAUUAGAUACCCUUGUAGUC